rnacentral:rRNA from 1 species
UACGUAGGGAGCAAGCGUUGUCCGGAAUCAUUGGGCGUAAAGCGCGCGUAGGCGGCCCUGUAAGUCCGUUGUGAAAGUCAAAGGCUCAACCUUUGAAAGCCGAUGGAUACUGCAGGGCUAGAGUCCGGAAGAGGCGAGUGGAAUUCCUGGUGUAGCGGUGGAAUGCGCAGAUAUCAGGAGGAACACCAGCGGCGAAGGCGGCGCUCUGGGCCGGAACUGACGCUGAGGAGCGAAAGCGUGGGUAGCGAACAGG